UACAAAGGGGGCUAGCGUUGUUCGGAAUUACUGGGCGUAAAGCGCACGCAGGCGGAUUGAUAAGUCGGGGGUGAAAUCCCGGGGCUCAACCUCGGAAUUGCCUUCGAUACUGUUAGUCUUGAGUCCGGGAGAGGUGAGUGGAAUUCCUAGUGUAGAGGUGAAAUUCGUAGAUAUUAGGAAGAACACCAGUGGCGAAGGCGGCUCACUGGCCCGGUACUGACGCUCAUGUGCGAAAGCGUGGGGAGCAAACAGG
rnacentral:rRNA from 1 species